AUUGAAAAAGUGAAAAAAAAUUAUGAGAGAGAGCUCAAGGCAACAGCAUCAAACUCAGCUUUUUUGGCCGCGAGUGGUGAUGCGUAAAUGGCUCAAUAUUAGUGCUAAGGAUUCCGAUUACAGUGCUGACCCUGACUCUGAUGUCGGCUCCGAUUCCGGUUCCGAUUCCGACCAAGAAUUCUGUGACUGGCCGAGGCAGUCGGGGCUGAACGAUGCAAAAGACGG
rnacentral:misc_RNA from 1 species